rnacentral:rRNA from 1 species
CCCUAUUAUUCUAAGGAGGAAAUUUUUAUACUUGAUUAUUAUUUGUUAUGUGCUUGAAAUUUAAAGAAUUUGGCGGUAUUUAAGUCUGGUCAGAGGAACCUGCUUCUUAAAACGAUAACCCCCGAAGGAUCUUAUUUUUCUUUGUCUUUCAGUUUGUAUACCUCCAUUAUUAGAUAUAGUUAAUAAAAUUUUAUUUUAAUAUUAGAUGAACGUCUUAUAGUAUAUUAGGUCAAGGUGCAGCUAAUAGGAAAAUUGAUUGUGGGUUACAUUUUUAUAAAAAAUUCGGAUAAAAGUUUGAAUUAAAUUCUUUGAAGUUGGAUUUGAUUGUAAAUUUUAUUUAAUAAGUAAAAUUGAUAUUAGCUCUUAAAUAUGUACACAUCGCCC